CUCGCAUUGUUGCCCAGGCUAGAGUGCAGUGGCGCCAUCUCAGCUCACUGCAACCUCCGCCUCCCGGGUUCAAGCGAUUCUCCUGCCUCAGCCUCCUGAGUAGCUGGGACUACAGGCACAUAACACCAUGCUUGGCUCAUUUUUGUAUUUUUGGUAGAGAUAGGGUUUCACCAUGUUGGCCAGGCUGAUCUUGUACUCCUCACCUCAAGUGAUCCGCCUGCCUCGGCCUCCCAAAGUGCUGGGAUUACAGGCUUGAGCCACCACAUCUACCCAUUUUUUUUUUUUGAGACGGAGUCUCGCUCUGGCACCCAGGCUGGAGUGUAGUAGCGCGAUCAUAGUUCAUUGCAGCCUUAACCUCCUGGGCUCAAGCAAUCCUCCUGCUUCAGCCUUCUGAGUAGCUGGGACUACAAGCACAUGCCACCAUGUCUGACUAAUUGAAAAAAACAUUUUUUUUUUUUUGUAGGGAUGAGGUUUCAUUAUGUUGCCCAGGCUGGUCUCAAACUCCUGGCCUUAUUCCAUCCUCCUGCCUCAGCCUCCCAAAGUGUUGGGAUUAGAGAUGUGAGCCAUCUUGCAGAUGAUAGAGAAACAGAAACAGAAAACGGAGAAAGCACAAUCCGGGACCAGGAUAAACAUAGAUAAAGUGAGGGGCAUGAAUGGAGUAUUUUUAAGGGUAAGUGGAUGUAUCAUCUGAAUCCAUGGGGGUUACACAUGGUUAUAUGCAAAAGGUGUGUGCAAAUACAUAUGUAAAGUCCAUGAGUGUGGGGAAACAGGUGGCCAGGUACUUAGCACAGUGCCUGACACACAGGAGCUCAUCACCCGUGUGCCAUCAGAGUGAAUAAGUGGGUUUGGGGGAGUAAAGAAGGUGUCUGUGCGGUUUUUUGAGACAGGGUCUCACUCUGUCACCCAGGCUGCACCCAGGCUGGGUGACGUGAUGCAACCACAGCUCACUGCAGCCUUGAAUUACUGGCCUCUAACGAUCCUCCUUCCUCAGCUCAGCUUCCCAAGUAGCUGGAAC
rnacentral:lncRNA from 1 species